CGAGGAUGUUCUUGGACCCAGAGGAAAUUUUAAAAAUAUAGAAAAAAUGUGGGUUGAUCGACCUUAUUUAUAAUUUCCACCUAUAAAUGGAGCAUUUUAUAGUUUAGGAAAUUUUUUAAGAUCCCUACGUACAUCACUCUAUCAAUAUGACAUUUGUUAAGAUAAUUGAAAAUCCAAUUAUUUUAAAAAUCCAAUUAUUUUAUUAUAGCGUAAAUUAGAUACAAAUGAACAAAAGGUUUGGACUUUGAAAUGGUACCAUUUCUUAAAUUGAAGCCAUUAGCUAGAUUCUACUUGCUACAUUCUCCAUCAACUUUACCCAAAAUAUGAGACCAAAUACAAGUAUUUAACCAGAAUAAAUAAUGCUUUUAUCUACUUAUCAAGACUAAAGCAAUACUUUCCAACCAGAAAAUGAAUAGGCAAUAACAUAAAAAAAAAACAAGAAAAAAAAGAAAAGAAAAGGGAACAUCAUACUCAUAUCAUCAAUGACGCAAGGAAGUUACUUAUAAACCAUUAACAAAAGGGCUACAUAUAAAAACCACAUAGCACAAGGUUAUGCAUAGAUAUCCUUAAGGAAGGGCAAGCUCAAAGUGGCCUUUAUUUACUGCAGAUACUGUAUAAUAAGUACAUGACUUGUAAUCAAACACACAGGCCACAUUAGACUGAAAGUCUAGUUAUGGGGCAUAGCCUCAGUGUUCACUUGUGCUUUGGCGAGGGCGUCGAACUCAGUUUGGGAGCAACAAUAGCACCCCCUGUGGCCACAGCAUCGGCGUCUGUGGCGACAUCCACCACCACCACCACCACGCCCGCCGCCAUAUCCACCACCACGCCCACCACCGUAUCCACCACCACGCCCACCAUAUCCACCGCCGUAUUGCUCUGUCUGUGCAGCUUCCUUAUCUACUACUUCGUCUGCCACAGCGAAACAAGCGCGACAGGUCAUUUUUUAGUGAGAAAAAAACGAGAAUAAGAUUUUUGGCGUUAUAGAAAAAUCUUCAUCGUGAACAAUUAGAGCGUGUUUUUAACAACAUAAUGUAUAUUUAUCCCUCAUUUAUUUGCUAAUAUUUGAUUUAGUGAUGCAAUCCCAGACAUCUGAUGAACUUGGAACGAUACAAAGAAGAAUAUUAAGGCCGCUACGGCAUGCACAAAUCUUCAUGUGGUCUGAAAAAAAAUGGCAAAAUUU
rnacentral:lncRNA from 1 species